UCCGAUAUAGUCUAGCUGGUUAGGAUACCUGGCUUUCAUCCAGACGACCCGGGUUCGAGUUCCGGUAUCGGAA
rnacentral:tRNA from 1 species